rnacentral:rRNA from 1 species
ACUCCUGCGGGAGGCAGCAGUGGGGAAUUUUGGACAAUGGGGGCAACCCUGAUCCAGCAAUGCCGCGUGAGUGAAGAAGGCCUUCGGGUUGUAAAGCUCUUUUGUCAGGGAAGAAACGGUGGUGGCGAAUAACUACUACUAAUGACGGUACCUGAAGAAUAAGCACCGGCUAACUACGUGCCAGCAGCCGCGGUAAUACGUAGGGUGCAAGCGUUAAUCGGAAUUACUGGGCGUAAAGCGUGCGCAGGCGGUUGUGUAAGUCAGAUGUGAAAUCCCCGGGCUCAACCUGGGAAUUGCAUUUGAGACUGCACGGCUAGAGUGUGUCAGAGGGGGGUAGAAUUCCACGUGUAGCAGUGAAAUGCGUAGAUAUGUGGAGGAAUACCGAUGGCGAAGGCAGCCCCCUGGGAUAACACUGACGCUCAUGCACGAAAGCGUGGGGAGCAAACAGGAUUAGAAACCCCUGUAGUCCCA